rnacentral:tRNA from 1 species
GAAAAAUUAGUUAAAUCAUAACAUUAAAAUGUCAAUUUAAAAUAAUUCACUAUGAAUAUUUUUCU